GGUUAAGCGACUAAGCGUACACGGUGGAUGCCCUGGCAGUCAGAGGCGAUGAAGGACGUGCUAAUCUGCGAUAAGCGUCGGUAAGGUGAUAUGAACCGUUAUAACCGGCGAUUUCCGAAUGGGGAAACCCAGUGUGUUUCGACACACUAUCAUUAACUGAAUCCAUAGGUUAAUGAGGCGAACCGGGGGAACUGAAACAUCUAAGUACCCCGAGGAAAAGAAAUCAACCGAGAUUCCCCCAGUAGCGGCGAGCGAACGGGGAGCAGCCCAGAGCCUGAAUCAGUGUGUGUGUUAGUGGAAGCGUCUGGAAAGGCGCGCGAUACAGGGUGACAGCCCCGUACACAAAAAUGCACAUGCUGUGAGCUCGAUGAGUAGGGCGGGACACGUGGUAUCCUGUCUGAAUAUGGGGGGACCAUCCUCCAAGGCUAAAUACUCCUGACUGACCGAUAGUGAACCAGUACCGUGAGGGAAAGGCGAAAAGAACCCCGGCGAGGGGAGUGAAAAAGAACCUGAAACCGUGUACGUACAAGCAGUGGGAGCACGCUUCGGCGUGUGACUGCGUACCUUUUGUAUAAUGGGUCAGCGACUUAUAUUCUGUAGCAAGGUUAACCGAAUAGGGGAGCCGAAGGGAAACCGAGUCUUAACUGGGCGUUAAGUUGCAGGGUAUAGACCCGAAACCCGGUGAUCUAGCCAUGGGCAGGUUGAAGGUUGGGUAACACUAACUGGAGGACCGAACCGACUAAUGUUGAAAAAUUAGCGGAUGACUUGUGGCUGGGGGUGAAAGGCCAAUCAAACCGGGAGAUAGCUGGUUCUCCCCGAAAGCUAUUUAGGUAGCGCCUCGUGAAUUCAUCUCCGGGGGUAGAGCACUGUUUCGGCAAGGGGGUCAUCCCGACUUACCAACCCGAUGCAAACUGCGAAUACCGGAGAAUGUUAUCACGGGAGACACACGGCGGGUGCUAACGUCCGUCGUGAAGAGGGAAACAACCCAGACCGCCAGCUAAGGUCCCAAAGUCAUGGUUAAGUGGGAAACGAUGUGGGAAGGCCCAGACAGCCAGGAUGUUGGCUUAGAAGCAGCCAUCAUUUAAAGAAAGCGUAAUAGCUCACUGGUCGAGUCGGCCUGCGCGGAAGAUGUAACGGGGCUAAACCAUGCACCGAAGCUGCGGCAGCGACGCUGAUGCGUUGUUGGGUAGGGGAGCGUUCUGUAAGCCUGCGAAGGUGUGCUGUGAGGCAUGCUGGAGGUAUCAGAAGUGCGAAUGCUGACAUAAGUAACGAUAAAGCGGGUGAAAAGCCCGCUCGCCGGAAGACCAAGGGUUCCUGUCCAACGUUAAUCGGGGCAGGGUGAGUCGACCCCUAAGGCGAGGCCGAAAGGCGUAGUCGAUGGGAAACAGGUUAAUAUUCCUGUACUUGGUGUUACUGCGAAGGGGGGACGGAGAAGGCUAUGUUGGCCGGGCGACGGUUGUCCCGGUUUAAGCGUGUAGGCUGGUUUUCCAGGCAAAUCCGGAAAAUCAAGGCUGAGGCGUGAUGACGAGGCACUACGGUGCUGAAGCAACAAAUGCCCUGCUUCCAGGAAAAGCCUCUAAGCAUCAGGUAACAUCAAAUCGUACCCCAAACCGACACAGGUGGUCAGGUAGAGAAUACCAAGGCGCUUGAGAGAACUCGGGUGAAGGAACUAGGCAAAAUGGUGCCGUAACUUCGGGAGAAGGCACGCUGAUAUGUAGGUGAAGUCCCUUGCGGAUGGAGCUGAAAUCAGUCGAAGAUACCAGCUGGCUGCAACUGUUUAUUAAAAACACAGCACUGUGCAAACACGAAAGUGGACGUAUACGGUGUGACGCCUGCCCGGUGCCGGAAGGUUAAUUGAUGGGGUCAGCGCAAGCGAAGCUCUUGAUCGAAGCCCCGGUAAACGGCGGCCGUAACUAUAACGGUCCUAAGGUAGCGAAAUUCCUUGUCGGGUAAGUUCCGACCUGCACGAAUGGCGUAAUGAUGGCCAGGCUGUCUCCACCCGAGACUCAGUGAAAUUGAACUCGCUGUGAAGAUGCAGUGUACCCGCGGCAAGACGGAAAGACCCCGUGAACCUUUACUAUAGCUUGACACUGAACAUUGAGCCUUGAUGUGUAGGAUAGGUGGGAGGCUUUGAAGUGUGGACGCCAGUCUGCAUGGAGCCGACCUUGAAAUACCACCCUUUAAUGUUUGAUGUUCUAACGUUGACCCGUGAUCCGGGUUGCGGACAGUGUCUGGUGGGUAGUUUGACUGGGGCGGUCUCCUCCUAAAGAGUAACGGAGGAGCACGAAGGUUGGCUAAUCCUGGUCGGACAUCAGGAGGUUAGUGCAAUGGCAUAAGCCAGCUUGACUGCGAGCGUGACGGCGCGAGCAGGUGCGAAAGCAGGUCAUAGUGAUCCGGUGGUUCUGAAUGGAAGGGCCAUCGCUCAACGGAUAAAAGGUACUCCGGGGAUAACAGGCUGAUACCGCCCAAGAGUUCAUAUCGACGGCGGUGUUUGGCACCUCGAUGUCGGCUCAUCACAUCCUGGGGCUGAAGUAGGUCCCAAGGGUAUGGCUGUUCGCCAUUUAAAGUGGUACGCGAGCUGGGUUUAGAACGUCGUGAGACAGUUCGGUCCCUAUCUGCCGUGGGCGCUGGAGAACUGAGGGGGGCUGCUCCUAGUACGAGAGGACCGGAGUGGACGCAUCACUGGUGUUCGGGUUGUCAUGCCAAUGGCACUGCCCGGUAGCUAAAUGCGGAAGAGAUAAGUGCUGAAAGCAUCUAAGCACGAAACUUGCCCCGAGAUGAGUUCUCCCUGACUCCUUGAGAGUCCUGAAGGAACGUUGAAGACGACGACGUUGAUAGGCCGGGUGUGUAAGCGCAGCGAUGCGUUGAGCUAACCGGUACUAAUGAACCGUGAGGCUUAACCUU
rnacentral:rRNA from 1 species